AUUGAACGCUGGCGGCAGGCCUAACACAUGCAAGUCGAACGAGUGGCGGACGGGUGAGUAAUGUCUGGGAAACUGCCCGAUGGAGGGGGAUAACUACUGGAAACGGUAGCUAAUACCGCAUACCAUCGGAUGUGCCCCGAGGGGAGUAGCUUGUAGGUGAGGUAACGGCUCACCUAGGCGACGAUCCCUAGCUGGGCUGAGAGGAUGAACGGGCACACUGGAACUGAGAAACGGUCCAUAGUCCUACGUGAGGCAGCAGUGGGGAAGAUUGCACAAUGGGCGCAAGCCUGAUGCAGCCAUGCCGCGUGUAUGAAGAAGGCCUUCGGGUUGUAAAGUACUUUCAGCGGGGAGGCGGUACCCGCAGAGAAAGCAACGGCUAACUCCGUGCCAGCCGCCGCGGUAAGUC
rnacentral:rRNA from 1 species